AUAAUGUGUACUUGGUAUGCUUUUGAAUAUAUGCACUAUAAAUACCAAGAUUAAAGAAACCAUCUUUGGCAUAUAAAAUCAACUCAUGCUAGUAUGUACUUAAUCUCAAAAGACCUUGUCAUUGCCUUACUUAGAUUAUCUUCUAAAAGGUCAAAGUUUGCUAUGCAUGUUAACUAAGGAAACAAACAAAAUCAAUUUCUAAAUCUAAUGAUGUUGUUUUCAAUACUAAGUUUUCAAAAGCUUACACUGGCUUUGUUCUUGGCACGUAAAUUGAAAUAUUUUCUGCAUUGGCACAAACUCACAAAAA
rnacentral:lncRNA from 1 species